rnacentral:rRNA from 2 species
GAUGAACGCUGGCGGCGCGCCUAACACAUGCAAGUCGAACGAUUAAAGCACCUUCGGGUGUGUAUAAAGUGGCGAACGGCUGAGUAACACGUGGGCAACCUGCCCCUCUCAUUGGGAUAGCCACGGGAAACCGUGGAUAAUACCGAAUACUUCGGGACUUCCGCAUGGAAGACUCGAGAAAGCUCCGGCGGAGAGGGAUGGGCCCGCGGCCUGUUAGCUUGUUGGUGGGGUAACGGCCUACCAAGGCAAUGAUGGGUAGCUGGGUUGAGAGACCGACCAGCCAGAUUGGGACUGAGACACGGCCCAGACUCCUACGGGAGGCAGCAGUGGGGAAUCUUGCACAAUGGGCGAAAGCCUGAUGCAGCGACGCCGCGUGCGGGAUGAAGGCCUUCGGGUUGUAAACCGCUUUCAGCAGGGACGAGGCGAAAGUGACGGACCUGCAGAAGAAGCCCC